AUAGAGAGCCGGUAACCGCCGUAGCGAUACGGAGGAAAGUCCGGACUCCUUCGGAUAUGAUGCCGGUUAACGGCCGGGCGUUCGGCAUGAUAAUAUGCAGGCGACAGACAGCGCAACAGAAAAUGAACCGCCGGUAAAACGGUAAGGGUGAAAAGGCGGGGUAAGAGCCCACCGCGCUUUUCGGCAACGAAAGCGGCAGUGCAAGCCUCAUCAGGAGCAAAAUUGAAUAGUAAAGGAUGUCCGAUCCUCUAUUUACGGGUUGAUUGCGGAAAUUGCUGCAGUAAUGCGGCAAUAAGAUAGAUGGUUACCCUGUUCGCAGACAGAAUCCGGCUUAUGGCUCUCUAUUUUU
rnacentral:RNase_P_RNA from 1 species